rnacentral:rRNA from 1 species
AGAGUUUGAUCAUGGCUCAGAUUGAACGCUGGCGGCAUGCUUUACACAUGCAAGUCGAACGGCAGCACGGGGGCAACCCUGGUGGCGAGUGGCGAACGGGUGAGUAACACAUCGGAACGUGUCCAGUUGUGGGGGAUAACCCAUCGAAAGGUGGGCUAAUACCGCAUGAUCUGGCAACAGCAAAGCAGGGGACCGCAAGGCCUUGUGCGAUUGGAGCGGCCGAUGUCCGAUUAGCUAGUUGGUGGGGUAAAGGCCCACCAAGGCGACGAUCGGUAGCUGGUCUGAGAGGACGACCAGCCGCACUGGGACUGAGACACGGCCCAGACUCCUACGGGAGGCAGCAGUGGGGAAUUUUGGACAAUGGGCGCAAGCCUGAUCCAGCCAUGCCGCGUGCGGGAAGAAGGCCUUCGGGUUGUAAACCGCUUUUGUCAGGGAAGAAAUCUUUUGGGUUAAUACCUCGGAAGGAUGACGGUACCUGAAGAAUAAGCACCGGCUAACUACGUGCCAGCAGCCGCGGUAAUACGUAGGGUGCAAGCGUUAAUCGGAAUUACUGGGCGUAAAGCGUGCGCAGGCGGUUCUAUAAGACAGAUGUGAAAUCCCCGGGGCUCAACCUGGGAACUGCAUUUGUGACUGUAGAGCUGGAGUGCGGCAGAGGGGGAUGGAAUUCCGCGUGUAGCAGUGAAAUGCGUAGAUAUGCGGAGGAACACCGAUGGCGAAGGCAAUCCCCUGGGCCUGCACUGACGCUCAUGCACGAAAGCGUGGGGAGCAAACAGGAUUAGAUACCCUAGUAGUCC